UACGGAGGGGGGCUAGCGUUGUUCGGAAUUACUGGGCGUAAAGCGCGCGUAGGCGGACCUGCAAGUCGGGGGUGAAAGCCCGAGGCUCAACCUCGGAACUGCCUUCGAUACUGUUGGUCUCGAGUCCGGAAGAGGUGGGUGGAAUUCCUAGUGUAGAGGUGAAAUUCGUAGAUAUUAGGAAGAACACCAGUGGCGAAGGCGGCUCACUGGCCCGAUACUGACGCUGAGGCACGAAAAGCGUGGGGAGCAAACAGG
rnacentral:rRNA from 1 species